CUACGGAUAUGUCGCCUACUCGAUUAGUUUGACAAGCGAAUUUGCGCUGGCUAUUAGCUGUUUUUUUUUUUCACAUGCAUAUGUGUAUGUCGGCGCGUACUGACUGUGCUUCUCAUCUACCAACCGCAGAAGUUUCCGCGCACUCUGAAAAAAUCGUCCCUGAAGCUAUGAUCGCACAGUCUAUAGUAUUUAUCCCGGAUUGCGAUAUGUCUCUUACAAAGGCCCCUUUUCUACUCUCGCAGAGGAUCUUCUGUGAGAAUAUUUAGCUUCAGUUCCGACUUGACUUUUAUGCAUACCCAAUCCACUCCUCCGCAGCAUUCCUUUCCCUUCAUCCAACCCAUAUUUUACCACACUUUCCUUUAAACUUUGCUCUCUAUCUUUCUCUCUCUCUCUCUCUCUUUGUCUCUCUCUUUGUCUCUCUAGUCAUCCAGUCCUUUGGCGGAUUGUUUUCCUCCGUUGCAGCAAUUCCUGCAUGAUGUCGUGCUCCGUCCCAGAAUUUCUUUCGGCACAAUCGGCUAUGCAGGCAUCGGCUCUGCGUUUCAAUCUUGUGAGCCACUUUUAGCUACAUGGAGCUGCGCUUGGACUCACUGGAUUUGCUACGAGUUUAAUGGAGCGGAGUAAUCGCGGCGUUCCCUGCCAUUUGGUUAUUCUUGAGAACUGUAAAUGCUGCUGAGCCUUACCCUGCUGUAAUGAAUACUGCUUCAGUUCGAUCAGAUGUUCAACCAAUAGAAUCUUCCAAUCAGCAGAUUCGCUACCGAAACCCAAUCUGACAGUUGCUCCGCAGCAAUGAUUAGUAUCCAACAAACGUAUGCAACUAACUCUUACAAAUACCAACAAAUAAAUUCUUUUAGCAACGAGAAAAAACAA